rnacentral:lncRNA from 1 species
UAAAAGAGACUCCAACUGGGACUACAACUAAUUGGAGGCCGCAAGGUUAUAAUAGAUAUUCACGUAUUUGCAUCACGAGCUUAGAGAAAAGAGAAGAAACUUGGUCGGCUGUUGAAGAUAUAUACAAGCGACUGAUGUUUGGAGAGAAAACCAUGGCUCAUACGACCGCACAACAUGAAUUCCAUGCGGUCGCACAUGGGCAGUCAGGGAUUAAAGAGGCGGAAAUCAAUACAGCCAUGCGAUUGCAGCCUCAAGUACCAUGCGGCCGCAUCAUGUGUUUGCGAGACAAAAUUUUCCAAAUUGGCGAAAGUUGGUAGACCUCUAAUUCCAGUUGAUAUUUUGAGAUCUUAAAUCUGUUUUCCCCUUUUUUAAUUAGGUUUAUUAGGUUAGUAUAAAUAGUUUUUUUAUUUUCAAUUGUAGACAAC